AUUAUAUAAUUAUAUUAUAAUAUAUAAUUAUAUUAAUUAUAUUAUAUAAUUAUAUUAUAUUAUAAUAUAUAAUUAUAUUUAUAUUAUAUAAUUAUGUUAUAUUAUAUAAUUAUAUUAAUUAUAUAUUAUAUAUAAUUAUAUAUAAUUUUUUAUAUAUGUAAUACAUAUAUAUCACAAUUUAUCCAUUCAUCCACUGAUGAACAACAGGUUGACUCCAAAUCUUGAGUAUUAUGAAUAGUGCUGCAAUAUACAUGGGAGUGCAGAUAUCUCUUUGAUAUACUGAUUUCAUUUUCUUUGGAUAGAUAUCCAGUAGUGGGAUUGCUCGAUCAUAUGGUAGUCCUAUUUUUAAUUUCUUUAGGAACCUACAGAUGGUUUUCCAUAAUGACUACUAAUUUAUAUUCCCACCAUCAGGGCAUAAAGGUUCCCUUUUCUCCACAUCCUCGAUAACAUUUGUUAUCUUUUGGCUUUUUGAUAAUAGCCAUUCUAACUGGAAUAAGGUGACAGUUUAUUGUGGUUUAAAUUUUAUUAACAAUAUGCCAUUACAGAGUUGUUUUUCAGCAACCACAACUCAGAACUUGACUUGAGAAAUAAAUCUAUGUUUUGUAAUCCUUCCAUCCUUCUGAGACCACUGCCUAAGAAAUAGUAAGCCAACUAAAAGGCAAAAGUCAGGGGAAAUGCUGAAAGCACACUUCUUCCAACUCAAACGGAAGACACCUGCAAAAAUAUGCUAUCUAUUUUCACUUGUCAUGAUGUUAAAACUAAAACAGUAGAAAGAUGUAGUUACUAUUAAUGUUGAUAAGCCCAAGAAACAAGAUACUAUGUUUUUGCUUUCUUUUGUAGGUUGCCAGAUCACUCUGAAAAUCAAGCAUACAAAACUAGUGUUAAAAAGUUCCAAAAUCAACAAAAUAACAAGGUAAAAUCAUACUUUCUAAGUUGGUUGCAAUUACUAAACUUGACUUUUGAAGGAAAUUAAAAACAUUUAUGUCCCUCUUAUUUUAAAUAGAGAUAAGCAAGAUACUUUUUAUUUUUAAUUUACUGUUUUAAGGGGGUGACAUUUUCUAGUGCAAGGAUAGAGUCAGAAGGCUGGGAUUAACCAAAAUGUGUAGAUAAAACAACAGAAUAACAAAAUCAAUCCAAGUAUUUUAUAAUAUUUCCAAUCUUUUCUUAUAAAAAUAUACAGGUAAUUUAUCAAAUGUAUUUUAAGGUUGAAAUCUUUACAGUAAUAAUUUAUAUUCCUGGCAUUGAAUAAUUUUAUAUACUUUCAAUUUCAAAUAAUAAUCAGCUAAAGGAAAAAUAUGUAGAAAAUAUGAAGAAACAUCAUUUGUGAACAAUGAGUAACUUCAAAAAUUCGUAAAAGUUCAUCUUCAGAUGUUUUUCAGUGUCCAAGACAUCUCUUAAAAUAUUCACUUAAUCAACUUAUUUUACUAAAAUAAUUUUAUUUUACAAAGGAAAAUAACUUGUCUAUAAGCAAUUUAUAUAUAGUUGACAUAGUUUUUUAAAAUAACUUUGGGGGAAAAAACCUUGGACAAUCUUUAGCCUAAAACUACCCAUUUUCAAAAAUUAUAGUCUUUGAUAGAAACAAUUGGUGAUAAUCAGCCAAUGUCUACUUUAUCUAAAGUCUACAGUGCUGGAUAAAAAAAAAAUGCCUCAAAGUUUGCACCUACAAAAGUUAUCAUAGUUAAUAUAUGAUAAGGAUACUGGGGAAAUCACACCAAAUGCUAAUAAUAAUUUUAUGUAUCCAAGUGCACACUGGGAAUGUGUGCCACUUUGGUUUCCUGAAACAAAGAAAAUUGGAAAAACAGAAAAAGUUUAGACUAGGGCCAUAAAAUGACAAUAGGACACAGGAUCUGAUAUUGACAAAAUGUCCAACUAAAUCCCGAAGUACCAGAUAGAAUUAUGGAUCACAUUUCAAAUAAAUAAAAGGAAGUGAUAAUUUUCACAGUAGGAAGUAAACUUGAAGAACUACAUCUUAGUUCAAGGCCAGAACAAGUAUCAAUGCUGAUUAUUCCUGGCUAUGUGGAUUUCUGUGUUGACAGACAUUCAGAGGACACAUGGGUUCCCUGAGGAAGCAUGCUAUAAUACACUAAUGGUGUCUACUAUGGUUGGAUGGGAAAAUGGUGACUCAUUCACAGACUAUCUGCCACUCCUGCUCUAUGAGAUGGGUCAGCCUGAGAAUCUAAAUAGGCUUAAGAGGGCAUGGAGUACAUUUCUAGUAGGUUAUAAAGUUAAGAAUAUUUUGAGGCCAUCUUCAACAUUUCAAAGAAGAUGUCAUAAAUGGCAAGCACAUCCUCUUAUCUACCAGUGGCAGUAAUAUUGGAAUGAACCAUUGGUUUGACCUUGGGUGGCAUUUCUUAAGUUCUUAAAACUAUUUCUCUUUCAGGUAAUCAGUAAAAGAAAUUCUGAAUUACUGACCGUAGAAUAUGAAGAAUUUAACCAUCAAGAUUGGGAAGGAAAUUAAAAACUGAAAAUGUACAAUUAUCAUUUAGGCUAUCUCAAGAGAGAUGAUUUGCCUUCUCAAGGAAAAUGGAGACAGGCAUAUUCAUGGGUCAUCAAAAUCCAGACAUACAGUCAACACUGAGAAUCAGCACACACCAUAUUUCAAAUAUAGAAGAGUCAUGUACUUGGCAACCAGUAAAUUCUGAAGAAAAAGACACUUACUUAUUAUUAAAACCCCAAAUGCAAUCAGCGAAACAUAUUUUUACUAUUCUUGGAUGAUAGUCAAAAUGAUCAUAAGCCAGGUUUGCUUCCACCUUCCCUGAAAAUUUUACUCACAGAUCAUUUGCAACAAGCAUAGCUUACUUAUUGUUUAGGGACUGAACAAUUUAUUGGGAAGCAAACUCUUUAUAUGCUAGAAAGUACAUUUAAAAGAUGACUACUUACGCAGGGAGAUGCAGGUCUCUCUAAACGCAUGAAUGUAUGUAGUGUGUAGGCACUGUAGUGAGUGUAUAUAUGCUCCACACUACGUCUGAUAAACACAAACCUCAGUAUUCAGUUAUUAGGCACACUAGUUUUAUACGCAACUACUGCUUACAUAGUAGACUGUUUUGUUGCCAAUAAUCUUUGAAUUGUUCUUUAAAAGAAACUGAGGUUCAGAUACACAUACCAUGGAAAAAUCUUACUUUUCUUGUUACUACACAAAGCUAUUUUAAAGAAGAUGCUAUGUUGGGAGAAGGGCGAAGUUGUACUAUAUGACAUAAUCAAUUCCUGUCUUCCACCACAGAUGAACAAUGUCUUCCUAUAAUAACUUCAGAAUAUUUCCUCACACCAACUUUAGUGUGUGUAUACCUAGACUGGCAUCAAUGUAAUCCAAUUCAGUCCAUUUUUUAUGUGCUGCUUAAUGAAAAUGAAUCUGUCUCUAUCUCUUUCAAAUGUUCUAAUAUCAGAUAUAUUUGCUACAAACCUUAAUUUCAAUAAAGUAAAAGUGAUAUACUCAUAGGUUUUUUAAUGAGCCUUUGUUUUAGUAGAUAGUCUUUAGAUUUGUUUUAUGUAUUCAAUAAAUGAUUUUAAGCAUGAAAAUUUUAAUGCUGCCAAAAGACAACAAAAUAGUAAACACAAAGAGCAACAUAUAACAUUAAGCUUCAAAAAUAAAAACAGGCUGGGCACAGUGGCUCACACCUGUAAUCUCAGCACUUUGGGAGGCCAAGGCAGGUGGGUCACUUGAGGUCACAAGUUUGAGACCAGCCUGGGCAACAUGGCAAAACCCCGUCUCUACUAAAAAUACAAAAAUUAGCUGGGCGCGGUGGCUCAUGCCUGUAAUCCC
rnacentral:lncRNA from 1 species